AUGUCAAAUAUCCUAAAGAAAGUCCAGGACAAGAGCCCCCUGAAGUACCCUAUUGUGAGACAGGUGGCAUGCCUGGACCCCACAGCCAUGUACUCCGACCCGGACUGGUGCCAGGGAAGAAUGAGGAGUGUAGUGCAGAAAUUCCUGCAAGACAAGCAGUUGUCCAGAGGUGUCGCUGCUGGUGAUGUGAUUAUCCAACAGUUUGGGAACUUCAUGUCUGUCGAGGCUAAAAGUGAGAAGUUUUUGUCCUUCCGGCCCAUCGAAACCAGGCUUGAUGUGUUUCUGCAUGGCUUUCUCAGCCAACCCUACCCUGAGCUUUGGGGUUUCUGUCAGAAGAUCCUACUGUUAUCCCAUGGGCAGGCAACGGUCGAGAGAGGCUUCUCGAUAAAUAAGGAGGUGGAAACUGUAAACCUUAAGGAGGACGGUGUCAUUGCCCAGAGACUGGUAUGUGACUACGUUGCCGUUUGUGGGGGGGUUGCCAAUGUCCCUCUCACCAAGGAGCUGCUGACCUCGGUGGGAUCAGCAAGGUCAAAAUAUAGAGAACACCUUGACCUGGAAAAGAGGAAGAGCCAAGGUGCUGCACAAGGGCAGAAGAGGAAAGCUGCAGAAGAACACGUCGCUGAGCUUAAGAAGAAAAAGAAAACUCUCCUGGAGGUAUGUGGCUCUCUGGAGAAAGAUGCUGACCUGUUUGCCGAGCAAGCUGAGGGUAAGUCCGGCACCUUGAUGGCUCAGCUCAUAACGAAAUCAAACAUCCUCAGGAAGAGAUGCAAGGAAAAAUUAAGUGAGCUGAAAAGGAUUGAGGCAGAACUGGAGAUUAAGGCCACAGAACUGAGGCUCACCUGAGGCUCAUUGUGUGUGUGUGUGUGUGUGUGUGUGUGUGUGUGUGUGUGUGUGUGUGUGUGUGUGUGUUAGGUUCAUUCGUUGUUUUUUUUUGUUAGAGGUUUGCAGCUGCACUUGUUAUUUCAUGAACCACAGAGCCAAUGCUGUUUGACUCAAUUUACUAAAUUUGUUUGUGUAUUUUUGUAUAUUAUUUUGUAAACUUCUUGUUCGGAAACAUGCACUUGUUCUUACAGUUUUUGAACCAGAGAGCACUGAGUAUCACUUUAUGUUCAAUAAACAGACAAAAAGUAAACUUGAAUGAGUCUCAUUGAGUGACACACAUGCUACGCUUGGGUUGUAAUACAGCGGGAUCCCCCCGACCAUCGCGGGUUUAAGGUCUUAAAUUUCAUUCAAGGUGGUCUUAAAAAGGUCUUAAAAAGUCUUAAAUUUGACUUGCUGAAACCUGCAGAUACCCUGUUAAAGGAAUUGAAUUUGUAUGCUGGACCCAGUCUCAAGCUUUCAUUAGUGAACGAACUUGUGUGCUUAACUUAGGUUAAUCUAACUCUCCAGGUGAAAUUCCUGGGGUGGCGUUGUUGGCAACAUGUCACUAGUUCUUUAACUGAACUA
rnacentral:lncRNA from 1 species